rnacentral:lncRNA from 1 species
GGAGGAAAUAACACAAGAGGCAAAGAUCACUCGGGACCACCUUGUAUAUUGGCUACCACAGAACCCAACACAAGCAGUAAGUUAAAAUCAUGAAGCUCCUGACGUCAGAGGACAUGGCUCUGCCAUUUGUUAGGUAGGGAUCCUGUUAAAGGCUCAGCUUCCUCAUCUGGAAAUGGAAAUAUAGGCCUUGCCUGGUUUGCUGUAAUGGGUCGUGAUGAGGACCAAACUACAAAGAGUGGUACAGAUGUUAAUUACAAUGAUUUUUCCUAUGCCACCCAUGGAAACAAAAAUAGCAAGAUAGAGAAGGCUAAAUCCCAGUUUUUUUUGACUGCUAUUCAGCAAAGCCUAGGAGACUUUCAUGACACCUGGAGAGGCGGCCGUAGUGUAUGUGUAAGAGUACCGGUUCCAGAGUGGGGCUCCCCGAGCUCAGCCCCACCACUUACCAACAGCGGACCUUGGGCCAGAUGCUGAAGCCCUUUGUGCCUUGGUUUCCUGACCUAUUACUGUGGAAAUGAUGACAGUACCCUCCUCAUGGCAUCGUGAGAAUUAAAUUAGCUAAUUCAGGUGAAGCAUUUAGAAGAGGACCUCCUGACACUUAAUAACUGCUUGAUAUAAAUAAUAGCUUCUGCUACAGAGUGGCCAUGAAGUCUGGACAUGUAGAUAUUAUAUUAUCAUGCAUCAUAAGGUAGUUGAUCUGGUGUGAGAUUCCAACCUCGUGUGAGAGAGGAGAAGACCUUCAUUACACUAAUUCAUGCUGGCCCAGCCUCCAGGCCACCCCAGAUGUGAGGUGCUGUUAACACUGCUCUCAGAUGGAGUCUCGCUCUGUUGUCCAGGCUGGAGUGCAGUGGGGCGAUCUCGGCUCACUGCAACCUCUGCCUCCUGGGUUCAAGUGAUUCUCCUGCCUCAGCCUCCCAAGUAGCGGGGACUACAGCACUGCAAUGAAUGCUGCUGCACACGCUGUUGAGCUCGUGGACACUUUCCUGCUGGGUGAGGACCCGAACGUGAAAUUGCUGGGUCAUGGAUUCAAGUGCUACACAUAUUUUUGACCACAUUACUGUGACUCAGGAAGCCCAGGAACAGAAUUCUAGGCACCAGAACCAUACAUGUUACAGCCUCUGAGCUUUAUGGCCUCUGAGCCAUUUGUCCAGCCACAUCAUUUGCAGAUGAGAUCCUGAGACUCAGGCUGGAAAAGUGACCGGGGAAAAGUCACACAAGUCAGAGGCAGAGCUGGAGUUUCCUCAUUUCCAGGCCCGUAUAGAUCAAGACGGACGUUGGUCAAACACCUCCUAGUACUCACAUGAAGAAGCUCUCCUUUCUGCUGUAGGAAUGAUCACACACCAUUCCAAUCUGGAUACCAAAUGUCAUUGUUUAUUAAAUGUGUGCAGUGUGCCAGGCA